CCUACGGGGUGCUGCAGUGGGGAAUAUUGCACAAUGGGGGAAACCCUGAUGCAGCGACGCCGCGUGAGUGAAGAAGUAAUUCGUUAUGUAAAGCUCUAUCAGCAGGGAAGAAAAUGACGGUACCUGAGUCAGAAGCCCCGGCUAACUACGUGCCAGCAGCCGCGGUAAUACGUAGGGGGCAAGCGUUAUCCGGAUUUACUGGGUGUAAAGGGAGCGUAGACGGCAGUGCAAGUCUGGAGUGAAAGGCGGGGGCUCAACCCCCGGACUGCUCUGGAAACUGUACGGCUGGAGUGCAGGAGAGGUGAGUGGAAGUCCUAGUGUAGCGGUGAAAUGCGUAGAUAUUAGGAGGAACACCAGUGGCGAAGGCGGCUUACUGGACUGUAACUGACGUUGAGGCUCGAAAGCGUGGGGAGCAAACAGGAUUAGAUACCCGAGUAGUC
rnacentral:rRNA from 1 species